CUACAAUAAUUAUGUUGGUACGCAAAAUUAUUUUUUAAUUGAUGACUACUUAUCAUAUACAUACUUAAUGUGACAUUUUUAGUGUUCAGAUACAUUAACUUUCAUUUUAGUGGGAAAUUACUCAUCAAUUGAGGUGCUCCUUAAUUGAAGAAAGAUUCUAAAAUCAGAACUUUACAGAAACAAUGAAAACUGCCGUUUUUCUCCCCAAUCUCAUGUAUCCCCAUUGACAUUGUUUACCGCGAAAGUUGACCUACAAAUUAUCUGAUUAUAGCCUCAGAUUAAAGCAUUGCAUGUUGGUGUGUGAAUCAUCUACACUACAGCAAACAUCAUUAGGUUUACAUUUAACAAAUACGGAUUUUAAAUUAGUAUACAAAUACUGUGAAUGAUUUUAAUAAUGAAUAAAGGAUAUCCCUGUGUAGUGUGGCAUUCCAACAAUGACGUCACUAGGUAAGAUAUAUUUGGAAUAUUUCGUAAUACUGAUUUUUCCGGACUGUAAAAGAAACGUAUAUAGUGUAAGGGAAAGCUCAAUAUACGAUAAUUUCACGAGAAAC
rnacentral:lncRNA from 1 species